GGCAUUGGCCAUAUCACCCUGUAGCUCACAGCUGGCAGCCCGCUGAAGCUAAGCAGGUGUGAGCCUGCCCAGUACCUGGAUGGGAGACCUCCUGGGAAAGCUAAGGUUGAAGCUU
rnacentral:rRNA from 1 species